AGAGUUUGAUCCUGGCUCAGGAUGAACGCUGGCGGCGUGCUUAACACAUGCAAGUCGAACGAUGAAGCCCAGCUUACUGGGUGGAUUAGUGGCGAACGGGUGAGUAACACGUGAGCAACCUGCCCCUGACUCUGGGAUAACAGCCGGAAACGGUUGCUAAUACCGGAUAUGCAUCAUGGCCGCAUGGUCUGUGGUGGGAAAGAUUUUUCGGUUGGGGAUGGGCUCGCGGCCUAUCAGCUUGUUGGUGAGGUAGUGGCUCACCAAGGCGUCGACGGGUAGCCGGCCUGAGAGGGUGACCGGCCACACUGGGACUGAGACACGGCCCAGACUCCUACGGGAGGCAGCAGUGGGGAAUAUUGCACAAUGGGCGGAAGCCUGAUGCAGCAACGCCGCGUGAGGGAUGACGGCCUUCGGGUUGUAAACCUCUUUUAGCAGGGAAGAAGCGUAAGUGACGGUACCUGCAGAAAAAGCGCCGGCUAACUACGUGCCAGCCGCCGCGGUAAUAC
rnacentral:rRNA from 1 species